UCGCGCCCACGUCGGACAUACCGUUCCAUCUUUCUCGUCCCGUUUUCCAUUCACAUCGCAGAGCCUCCUGCCUGUCUUUUCCAGAGUGCAUCCGAAGGAAAUCGAUAACACCGGAUCCACGCGCGUUCGUCUCUGUCUAGCACGUAGAGAGGGCGCGAUUCCAUCGCCACCCUGUUUUCGCGCACAUCCAAAAACGACUGGAAGAUCGUUUUCUCGUUCGGGGGUUGCCGCCUCCUGCUGCUAGUGGCCGCACUCGCGCUGCCGCCCGUCGACCCAGCUGGGUACGAACGACACCGCACUGGACGUCGGCACGGAUCCGGAUAAACGACGUCGGCACCAAACGUAGCAUAUACACUCAUCGGAGCACCCGAUUCUGCUCAGUUCGUGGGUGAAUUUCGUUCCGCCAAAGACGUCCUCUUCAUCAUUUCGCUUCAAUCGCACGCGUCUGUGGUCCUUCCACACAGUUUUAUAUGUGUUUUUUUUUCCGUUUGGUGGUUUGAAUUAUUUUUUUCCCAUUGACCAUCAUCGUCGAAGACUGGAAGCAUGAAGAUGGUCACCUAACUUCUUAGUUUCUACUAACUUAGGCACCAUUUGAUUAUUUUUGUUUUAUUUGAAUUUAAUAAUCGAUUACCGCACAUCAGGAAUAACAACUCACUAUCAAAUAGAUGAUACCGUUGAUGUGCGAAAUCCUACGAGCCUGGACUAUAACAAUCUAGAAGAUAAUUGUGACUGCAUGAAUCCAAUUGAUUGUUACGUAAUAAACGGGAGAAGUGAUUGUUGAGUGAAGCAGCAACGACGACGAUUCAACGAUUUGUUUCGAACUGUGAUAGUGAGAAUGCAGCAAACUGAUGGUUACUUAAAAUGACAUCAACACAAUGAAGAUUGAUUGGAAUAGUGUUGGAUUUAUCUUAAAGGAAGAUCAUUAGAGAAGAAACGAUUUCAAUAUGCCUGGAAUAGUGGUUUUCAGGCGACGCUGGAGCGUCGGAUCCGAUGACCUCGUCGUUCCGGGACUCUUCCUCUUCAUUAUGCAUUUA